GACGAACGCUGGCGGCGUGCUUAACACAUGCAAGUCGAACGGAAAUGCCCCUUUGGUUGUACUCGAGUGGCUAACGGGUGAGUAACACGUUAGUAACCUGCCCUUGUCUUCGGGAUACCUUCAGGAAACUUGGGCUCAUACCGUAUAGGAAUCCUUGCUGCAUGUUGGGGGUUGGAAAGCUUCGGCGGUUUUGGUUGUACUCGCGGCUUAUCAGCUUGUUGGUGGGGUAGUGGAUUACCAAGGCUUUGACGGGUAGGCGGCCUGAGAGUGCGACCGGCCACAUUGGGACUGAGAUAAGGCCCAGACAGCGAAGGGAGGGAGAAGGGGGGAAUAUUGAACAAGGGGCGGAAGCCUGAUGAAGAAAGGCCGCGUGCGGGAUGACGGCCUUGGGGGUGUAAAACGCUUUCAGCAGGGGCGAAGAUUGUGGUGACGGUACCUGAAGAAGAAGCAACGGCUAACUACGUG
rnacentral:rRNA from 1 species